GUAGGGAAUAUUGGGCAAUGGAUGCAAGUCUGACCCAGCCAUCCCGCGUGCCGGAAGAAGGCCCUCAGGGUUGUAAACGGCUUUUGACGGUGAAGAAUCGACAGGAUGCGUCCUGUUUUGACGGUAGCCGUUGAAUAAGCACCGGCUAACUCCGUGCCAGCAGCCGCGGGAAUACGGAGGGUGCGAGCGUUGUCCGGAUUUAUUGGGUUUAAAGGGUGCGUAGGCUGGAAGGUCAGUCAGCGGUGAAAAGCUGUCGCUUAACGAUAGUCUUGCCGCAGAUACUUCCUUUCUUGGAUGAGGAGGAGGCCACUGGAACGGAUGGUGUAGCGGUGAAAUGCAUAGAUAUCAUCCAGAACACCGAUUACGAAGGCAGGUGGCUGUACCUUAAUCGACGCUGAUGCACGAAAGCAUGGGGAGCAAACAGGAUUAGAAACCCGGGUAGUCC
rnacentral:rRNA from 1 species